UGGGGAAUUUUGGACAAUGGGCGAAAGCCUGAUCCAGCAAUGCCGCGUGUGUGAAGAAGGCCUUCGGGUUGUAAAGCACUUUUGUCCGGAAAGAAAUCCUUGGCUCUAAUACAGUCGGGGGAUGACGGUACCGGAAGAAUAAGCACCGGCUAACUACGUGCCAGCAGCCGCGGUAAUACGUAGGGUGCAAGCGUUAAUCGGAAUUACUGGGCGUAAAGCGUGCGCAGGCGGUUUGCUAAGACCGAUGUGAAAUCCCCGGGCUCAACCUGGGAACUGCAUUGGUGACUGGCAGGCUAGAGUAUGGCAGAGGGGGGUAGAAUUCCACGUGUAGCAGUGAAAUGCGUAGAGAUGUGGAGGAAUACCGAUGGCGAAGGCAGCCCCCUGGGCCAAUACUGACGCUCAUGCACGAAAGCGUGGGGAGCAAACAGGAUUAGAUACCCUGGUAGUCCACGCCCUAAACGAUGUCAACUAGUUGUUGGGGAUUCAUUUCCUUAGUAACGUAGCUAGCGCGUGAAGUUGACCGCCUGGGGAGUACGGUCGCAAGAUUAAAACUC
rnacentral:rRNA from 1 species